UGGCAUACCUCUUCAUUUAUGCGACAUGACUUGUAUUGUCUUGAGCGUAUUGUGGGUUUCCUGUGUUGCAUACCUUUCUAAUGGUAUCGUGUUGAUUUAUCAAAGUCCCUUUUCAUCUUGUGUUGCUUUUUGCGACGUAUGAUGAACCUCGAGGCGGUCUCUAUGUUCCACCACGUUGAUGCUAGCGUUUUGAUGUUGUGGCCCAUCGAGGGUUGCUUGGUUUCGUGGAUACAGAAUAUGAUUUGGGCAUAGGGUUACUUGUGACUCUUGUUCUGUCCUUUAUCAGUGUUCUUUAUAACGAC
rnacentral:misc_RNA from 1 species